rnacentral:misc_RNA from 1 species
UACAGAGGGUGCGAGCGUUAAUCGGAUUUACUGGGCGUAAAGCGUGCGUAGGCGGCUUUUUAAGUCUGAUGUGAAAUCCCACUGCUCAACGGUGGAAUUGCAUUCGAUACUGGGAAGCUAGAGUAUGGGAGAGGAUGGUAGAAUUCCAGGUGUAGCGGUGAAAUGCGUAGAGAUCUGGAGGAAUACCGAUGGCGAAGGCAGCCAUCUGGCCUAAUACUGACGCUGAGGUACGAAAGCAUGGGGAGCAAACAGG